CUUGCGGCUAUAUUUACCUUUAUAUUUUAUAGAGAAUUAUGCAUUAACAUUUUAAUUUUAAUAGGAUUUAAUUUUUUUGACUGUCCAGUAAAUAAUACAUACAGUCCAGUAAACAUUUACAAGCAUUAUUCCUGGAUACAAACCUCUGGGCCUCCCAAUGUGAUGAUAUUGAGUGUGAUGAUGUUGAGCGGAUGAUGUUGAGCGGAUGAUGUUGAGUGUGAUGAUGUUGAGUGUGACGGGGUUAAUUGUGAUGGGAUUGAAUUUGAGAGAGUUGAGCGUGAUGAGGUUGAGUGUGAUGGGGUUGAGUGUGAAUAGUUUAAGUAUGAUGGAUUUGAGUGUGACGAGGUUGAAAGUGAUGAGGUUGAGUGUGACAGGGGGUUUAAUGUGUCAAAGUUGAGUUGGAAAAGGUUAAGUUUGAUUGGGUUGAGUGUGACUGGGUUAAGUUUGAUUGGGUUGAGUGAGACAGGAGUUGAGUGAGAUGAGGUUGAGUGUGACUGGGUUAAGUUUGAUUGGGUUAAGUGUGACAGGAGUUGAGUGUGACAGGGCUACGUUUAAUUGGGUUGAGUGUGACAGGAGUUGAGUGUGACUGGGUUAAGUUUGAUUGGGUUAAGUGUGACAGGAGUUGAGUGUGACUGGGCUAAUUUGAUUGGGUUGAGUGUGACAGGAGUUGAGUGUGACAGGGCUAAGUUUAAUUGGGUUAAGUGUGACAGGAGUUGAGUGUGACUGGGUUAAGUUUGAUUGGGUUAAGUGUGACAGGAGUUGAGUGUGACUGGGUUAAGUUUGAUUGGGUUGAGUGUGACAGGAGUUGAGUGUAAUGAGGUUGAGUGUGACAGGGUAAAGUUUGAUUGGGUUAAGUGUGACAGGAGUUGAGUGUGACUGGGUUAAGUUUGAUUGGGUUAAGUGUGACAGGAGUUGAGUGUGACUGGGUUAAGUUUGAUUGGGUUGAGUGUGACAGGAGUUGAGUGUGACGAGGUUGAGUGUGACAGGGUAAAGUUUGAUUGGGUUUAGUGUGACAGGAGUUGAGUGUGACAGGGCUAAUUUGAUUGGGUUGAGUGUGACAGGAGUUGAGUGUGACGAGGUUGAGUGCGACUGUGUUAAGUUUGAUUGGGUUGAGUGUGACAGGAGUUGAGUGUGACUGGGUUAAGUUUGGUUUGGUUGAGUGUGACAGGAGUUGAGUGUGAUGAGGUUGAGUGUGACUGGGUUAAGUUUGAUUGGGUUGAGUGUGACAGAAGUUGAGUGUGACGAGGUUGAGUGUGACUGGGUUAAGUUUGAUUGGGUUAAGUGUGACAGGGUUAAGUUUGAUUGGGUUGAGUGUGACAGAAGUUGAGUGUGACGAGGUUGAGUGUGACUGGGUUAAGUUUGAUUGGGUUAAGUGUGACAGGAGUUGAGUGUGACUGGGUUAAGUAUGGUUGGGUUGAGUGUGACAGGAGUUGAGUGUGAUGAGGUUGAGUGUGACUGGGUUAAGUUUGAUUGGGUUUAGUGUGACAGGAGUUGAGUGUGACAGGGCUAAUUUGAUUGGGUUGAGUGUGACAGGAGUUGAGUGUGACGAGGUUGAGUGUGACAGGAGUUGAGUGUGACGAGGUUGAGUGUGACAGGGUUAAGUUUGAUUGGGUUAAGUGUGACAGGAGUUGAGUGUGACUGGGUUAAGUUUGAUUGGGUUAAGUGUGACAGGAGUUAAGUGUGACAGGGCUAAUUUGAUUGGGUUGAGUGUGACAGGAGUUGAGUGUGACAGGGUUAAGUUUGAUUGGUUUAAGUGUGACAGGAGUUGAGUGUGACUGGGUUAAGUUUGAUUGGGUUAAGUGUGACAGGAGUUGAGUGUGACUGGGUUAAGUUUGAUUGGGUUAAGUGUGACAGGAGUUGAGUGUGACUGGGUUAAGUUUGAUUGGGUUGAGUGUGACAGGAGUUGAGUGUGACGAAGUUGAGUGUGACUGGGUUAAGUUUGAUUGGGUUAAGUGGGACAGGAGUUGAGUGUGACUGGGUUAAGUGUGACAGGAGUUGAGUGUGACUGGCUUAAGUUUGAUUGGGUUGAGUGUGACAGGAGUUGAGUGUGAUGAGGUUGAGUGUGACUGGGUUAAGUUUGAUUGGGUUGAGUGUGACAGGAGUUGAGUGUGACUGGGUUAAGUUUGGUUGGGUUGAGUGUGACAGGAGUUGAGUGUGAUGAGGUUGAGUGUGACUGGGUUAAGUUUGAUUGGGUUGAGUGUGACAGAAGUUGAGUGUGACGAGGUUGAGUGUGACUGGGUUAAGUGUGACAGGAGUUGAGUGUGACUGGGUUAAGUUUGAUUGGGUUGAGUGUGACAGGAGUUGAGUCUGACGAAGUUGAGUGUGACUGGGUUAAGUUUGAUUGGGUUAAGUGGGACAGGAGUUGAGUGUUACUGGGUUAAGUGUGACAGGAGUUGAGUGUGACUGGCUUAAGUUUGAUUGGGUUGAGUGUGACAGGAGUUGAGUGUGAUGAGGUUGAGUGUGACUGGGUUAAGUUUGAUUGGGUUGAGUGUGACAGAAGUUGAGUGUGACGAGGUUGAGUGUGACUGGGUUAAGUUUGAUUGGGUUGAGUGUGACAGGGUUAAGUUUGAUUGGGUUGAGUGUGACAGAAGUUGAGUGUGACGAGGUUGAGUGUGACUGGGUUAAGUUUGAUUGGGUUAAGUGUGACAGGAGUUGAGUGUGACUGGGUUAAGUUUGGUUGGGUUGAGUGUGACAGGAGUUGAGUGUGAUGAGGUUGAGUGUGACUGGGUUAAGUUUGAUUGGGUUUAGUGUGACAGGAGUUGAGUGUGACAGGGCUAAGUUUAAUUGGGUUGAGUGUGACGAGGUUGAGUGUGACUGGGUUAAGUUUGAUUGGGUUGAGUGUGACAGGAGUUGAGUGUGACGAGGUUGAGUGUGAAUGGGUUAAGUUUGAUUGGGUUAAGUGUGACAGGAGUUGAGUGUGACUGGGUUAAGUUUGAUUGGGUUAAGUGUGACAGGAGUUGAGUGUGACUGGGUUAAGUUUGGUUGGGUUGAGUGUGACAGGAGUUGAGUGUGAUGAGGUUGAGUGUGACUGGGUUAAGUUUGAUUGGGUUUAGUGUGACAGGAGUUGAGUGUGACAGGGCUAAGUUUAAUUGGGUUGAGUGUGACGAGGUUGAGUGUGACUGGGUUAAGUUUGAUUGGGUUGAGUGUGACAGGAGUUGAGUGUGACGAGGUUGAGUGUGAAUGGGUUAAGUUUGAUUGGGUUAAGUGUGACAGGAGUUGAGUGUGACUGGGUUAAGUUUGAUUGGGUUGAGUGUGAUGUGGUUGAAUGUGAUAGGGAUAAAUGCGAUGGUGUUUAGUGUGACAUGAUUAAAUAUGAAGGGGGUUGAAUGUAAUGCUAUUGAAUUUAAAAGGGUUGAGUGUGAUGGGAUUGAAUGUGACAGGGUUGAACAUUGCUUCUCCCUCCAAUGUCUAUCCAGGUGUAGCUGGAGUUCACAACCUGGCAUUUAAGAGACACCUUUGGGAGCAUGAGGGUGGCACAGUCGGGCAGAAAUUUCUGCUGCUACUAUUCUAGAACAGAACUGGCUGACCAGUGCCGGAUUUGGCUAGUAGUUCUUGUUUUGUGCCAGAGUUCACAUACCCAGAGGCAUACCAGGGCCUCCAGCUUCUACACUGGGUGCAUUUCUCCUGUGGGGCUGAGAGCUUUCUCGCUGUUUAGGGCGAGGUGGUGUCAGGCGAGUGAAGUUAGUGAACACACGUUGGAGAUGCUCAUCAUGGUGCGCUGUGGUGGCACUGUGAUCCCCAAUGGCACUGAGAUGGAUGGAAAAACCUGGAAUGACUGUAAGGACUUUUGAGAACAGCUGAAAGCCACGAUCAGAGUGAAUCGCAUAUGCUUGUGUUGUACCCCUGACAAUGGGAAAGAAUAAAGAGAGACUGGAUUGUGAUGUUUUCUCUUGUGCUGUAUUGCAGAGAAUCUUUUUCAUAAAGUACAAAACAACUCAAAAGCAAAAUUGUCUAUCAGUAGGUAUCUUUCAGCAUUAACAAUUGCUUUAUACUACAGAGAAACAUUAACUAAACUUCCUUGCACAGUAUAGAACAUUGUUUACAGAGAGAUAGAAUAUAUAUAAAAUAAAAAAACAUAUUUAUGCAUAUAAUUACUGGAAUAGGCCAAUAUUCAAUCCCUGUAGCAAUAUUUGUUCUCAUAAAUCCUUGCUUAAACAUGCACCCCAUGCUAUUGUAUAAACAAUUAAGCAGGCCUAAGAACAA